rnacentral:lncRNA from 1 species
GUUUAUUAAAAAUGUGAAACAAGAAGGAAGAAAGCUACACUCCAUUGUCCAUCCCUUUCAUGACUCUCCAAUCAUUAGCUUCAGCUCUUAAAUAUUCUUACCCUGGGUCUAACCAAAUGUUUACAUUUUCUAUGUUUAACCCAGGCUCCAGAGACCAGCUGGAAAAUCAUUCAACCUUGUGUAAUUGGAGCCACCAUAAAUUCACGAUCUCAGUCAUUCACUUAAAAACAUUUAUCUUCUAGGUAUCAUGCAAGGCAGAGAGUAUAAAUGGUGAACAAAACUGUCAGAGUCCUUGCCCAGGGGAGCUGGAAGGGAAUAGAGGUAAGGAACAGGAAAUCACUCAAUCAGAAAACAGCCCCCGCUCUCUAUGGGCCAGGUUCUAUCUUAGGUCCAGGGAUACAUCCAUGAACAAGGCAGACAAGGAAGGCUCUGCUCUUUGAGAACUUACAUUCCAGCAACUGGAAAAUGUCAGUAAACAAGUCUGAAAAAAGAAAUAAGUAUACAAGGUAAUUUCAGGUAGUAAUAAGUGCUGUGAAAGAAAUAAAAGACAAUGGCGAUUGGGGAGCAUUUUAGAAAGGCCACUUUGUGGAGGUGACCUUUUGCACUAAGACCAGGGAGAACCUGCAAGUGUUGUGAAGAUCAUUCUAGGCAGAGGAACAGCAGGUGCAGAGUCCCUGGCGGGGGGAUGCUUUGGUGUGUUCAAUGAAAAGGAAGCCAGUGUGAUGGGAGCAUGGUUAGUGAGGAGAGGAGGGAGGGAGAUAGAGUCAGAGCGGUCAGCAGGUGCCAGAUCAUGUUAGUCUUUCAGCCACUGUAAGGAGUUUGGCUUCUUACCAUGCUCAGAAUAGGCAUUCCAGGUUUUCAGCAGUUCAGAUGAGAAAUGAAGGGGGGUUAAAUGCAGGCUGUCAAACAUUUUUUAUCACAAUCCACAAGAGGAGACAUAUUUUAUUUGGUGACUCAGUACAUAAACCGAUAUUCAUAAACAAAAAUUUCAUGAGACAGUGCCCUCCCUGUGGGUGACGCGCUCUGAGAUUUUGCAUUUGAUAUCAUGGUAAAAGAAGAAAUACUGGUUGUCAUUGGUUAAAUUGAUUUCAUAACUCACCAAUGGGUUAAACUCACAGUUUGUAAAAUGCUGGUUCAGACUAAAGUGCUGAUAGUAGAGAUGAAGAGAAAUGGACAGAUUCAAGAUGUAUUUUAGAAGUAGAGUUGACAGGAUUGUUGAUGAACUUGUGGGAAGGUGAAGGAAAGAGCCUAAUAAAUGAUGAUUUCUAUGCUUUUGGCUUGAAUAAAUGGGAAGAUGGUAGUCCUGUAUCCUAAGAUGGG